GGGGGCGAUUGGAAUCGACUGGUUCUCCGUAAGUUGAGGUGGCGUGUCGUGGUUGAUCAGUUGGCCACGUAAAAAACUGAUCACAAAAUUAUCUGCCGAAAAGCAGUUUGCUAUGGUAGCUUAAUUUAGCUGCCCGGAUUUAGGAAUCCCUGUCUGAGGAGUCCGAAAAUCCGCUUAACAAAAUCAGACUGGUGUCGAGUCAAUGGUGACUACGCUCGACAUGAGACCUCGUAGACACCUGGCUUUCAAAGGCUUUGGAUGUUGAGCCCGAGAAAGCGAGACCCAAUCAAUAUUCUACACACGUAGAGGCCGAAACCGAGGGCUCACAGGACGGGGGUUCAAUCCCCCCCGCCUCCA
rnacentral:tmRNA from 1 species